rnacentral:rRNA from 1 species
CUCUCAGUGACUCCUACGGGAGGCAGCAGUGGGGAAUAUUGCACAAUGGGGGAAGCCCUGAUGCAGCCAUGCCGCGUGUGUGAAGAAGGCCUUCGGGUUGUAAAGCACUUUCAGUAGGGAGGAAGGUAGUGUAGUUAACACCUGCAUUAUUUGACGUUACCUACAGAAGAAGCACCGGCUAACUCCGUGCCAGCAGCCGCGGUAAUACGGAGGGUGCGAGCGUUAAUCGGAAUUACUGGGCGUAAAGCGCAUGCAGGCGGCCUGUUAAGUCAGAUGUGAAAGCCCCGGGGCUUAAACCUCGGAAUUGCAUUUGAAACUGGCAGGCUAGAGUCUUGUAGAGGGGGGUAGAAUUUCAGGUGUAGCGGUGAAAUGCGUAGAGAUCUGAAGGAAUACCAGUGGCGAAGGCGGCCCCCUGGACAAAGACUGACGCUCAGAUGCGAAAGCGUGGGGAGCAAACAGGAUUAGAUACCCUGGUAG